UGAGAAGAUCUGCUCUUAGUAGAGCCCUGCUUUCCCGCUGAAGGCCCUGAAAUCACCUGUGUUCCAGGCCACCCACUAAGGAUAAACAAAGCUUCCCUGAUAUGGGGAAUUAGCUCAAGUGGUAGAGCGCUUGCUUAGCAUGCAAGAGGUAGUGGGAUCAAUGCCCACAUUCUCCAAGCUUUAUUAUUUAGGUACCCAAACCCGAGUCAGUGUCUGAGAGCAAGACACUGCUCUCGGUGUCUUUGGUUCAAGACAUAGGAGCAGCAACAAUACAGGACUGGUGACAGCUUCCUGCUGGCAUUCAGUAUAGUGUAGAUCUACUGUGUAAUUAAUUUUCUGUUUCUUCGAGGAGCUGUGAAACCAAAGGACAUAUAAAACUGCUCUUUUCUCCCUGUUUCUGCCUGCAGCUUGGUCCUAAAUGUGAGACAAUUGUGAAAAGUGGAGGACAGAGCCACCUGGUUAAAUACAGCCCCAGCUUUCUGGUGAGAGGACUGAAACCAAGAUGUGUCAAGUAACUAGAAUGUGCCUGGACAGAUACUGUAGAAAGCAAAACCAUAAAGUUGUUCAUGAGCUUGUGGACGCACCUGCCAGCUGUGAAUAAGUGGCUCUAAUCCCGAACAACUUACCUAAAAAGAGCCUGAGAGCUGAACUGUGCAAUGGCCCACUUUCCAGUCCUCACUGACCACUGGGUUGCACACACUUUGGAGAUCUCUGAACAGCAGUGUCAAGGCUUUCAAAUAGAGUUAUCUUUGAAACGACAACACAUGAAAGUCUGGUUGGUACUUGGAGCUUAAAUACAAGGCAAUUGUGUGCCUGCAAAAACAAAAAUAGCAAUAUUAUCCUUAAGAUUUCAACAAGACACAGUGUCUCAUCACAUAAUCCAAAGAAGUCCAGGUUACAAGCCCCACAAUAUUCAGCAUUAUGAAAAAACAGGGAGAUCUUAAUUCACAUGGCAAAGAGAAUCCUCGAAUAACAAUAUUGAGAGGACACAGAUGUCAAAAUCAUCUGACACAUACAUUAAAGCAGAUAUUAUAACAAUGCUCCUAGAAUCGGGGAUAACAUUCGUGAAGUGAAUGGAAAGUUGGAAAGUCUCACCAAAUAUUUCGAAUACAUAAACACCAAUUUAAACUUAAGAAUUAAAAAAAUGUAUUAACCAAAACUCUUAGGGGAAAUAAAAAGCUUAAUUGGAGGAUCUCCAUAAUCGAAUGCAGAAGACUAAGGAAAAAGUCAAUGAACUUGAAAACAGAACACGAAUACCUACAUAAUCUGAACUAUAGAGAGAAAGGAGGAUUUUAUUGUCUCUGAACAGAGGCUCAGGCACAAAUAAAAAAUAACAAAUCCAACAUUCACAUUAUUGUAAUCUGGAAAGAAGAGGACAAAGUGGUCUUUGUGGGAUAAAACUUUGAACAAUUAAUAGCUGAAAAUGGUUCAAAUUUGUCAAAAGAUAUAAACCAGAUUUUUAAAGUUCAGUAAAUGUCAAUCAGGAUAAACCCAAAGAAACCCAUAGCAAGGCAUAUCAUAAUCAAACUGCUGAAAACUAAGAAAAUACAAAACAAUUUUGAAAGCAGCCAAAGGGAAAUGAAAGAGAAACUACCAAAUGAAUGAUUGUAGAUUUCGCAUCAGGAACCAUAGGGGCCAGAAAAAAUGUCAUAACAUUCGGUAAGUAACAAAAGAAAAAGACAUAUCGACCCAGAAUGCUAUGUGGAGCAAAAGUAUCUUCCAGACAUAAAGGCAAAUAAAUGCAUUCUCAGUGGAAGGUAAGUAAAUACAUUCUCAUUCUUAGGAAGACUGCUGGAAAAGAAUUAGCAAAGAUUUGAGAUAAGAAAAAUGAUACCAGAAGGAAACUUAGAACAUCAUCAGUGAAGGAACAAAAGCAGAAAUAGAACAUGUCUGGGUAGACAUAACAGACUAUUAUUCUUCCCUUGAGUUCCUUAAGUAAAAAUACAAAAAUUAGCUGGGCGUGGUUGCAAGCACCUGUAGUCCCAGCUACUCAGGAGGCUGAGACAGGAGAAUUACUUGAACCUGGGAGACAGAGGUUGCCGUGAGCCAAGAUCUCACCAGUGCAGUACAGCGUGGGUGACAGAGCAAGUAAGUAAAGAGGAGGUUUGGAAUUAGAUAUUUGGUGUAUGAAUGAAUGGGCUAAAGUGCAAAAGAACAGGCAGAAUAACUGAGCUGGUACAGAGGAAAAAAAUCACACUUAAAAUCUAAAAGUAUCUGCUUCUCAAUUUGGGCUUUCCCACUUAGCAGCUUUGACACCUUAGAAAGAACACUUAACUUACCUGAGCUUCUAUUACUUCUAAAAAGUGCAUAAAGUGCAGGCUAAGACAUAGUUUUUUUGGCAAAAUUCAGUCAGACUACAUCAAGUAAACUCCCUAAGUCUCCUAGUAUAAUUCAUGGCACAAAAACUGGGGAAAAAACAGGGAGGAUAUGUUUAUAAGUUCAGUUUGGGUUUUUUGUUGAGUGAAUGUCUCCAGUCAUAGAGAUGCAAGUGUAGAUACACCGUAAGAGUAGUAUGAACAGGAGACACCUUGGAAGGCUAUUUCUUCCUUCAUUCAUUCAGUUGGUCACUCAAUGAACUAUCAUGAAUUGAGCACUACCUCUGUUUCUUAUCAACAAAGGAGACUACGGAAAAGAAGAGUGACUAAGAUCUCUGAAGAAGGGAAAAGCUAGAUGACUGGGCCACAAGAGGAAAAAAAGCAGCAAGACAGGAGAUUUGUUGGUGCCAACUAAAUGAGCCCAACAGCCAGUGACAACAGAACUGCACUAAAAAAAGUCCCUCAUCAGCUCUUGAGAGCAGGUUCCUUAAAGCUAGGCUCAAGACUUCCCAGUGUCUUUGUCUCCUCUCCCUCAAAUCUCUCCACCCAAUGUCUUGACAAAUACUGUAGAUCCUUCCUGCACAGCAUCACCAGAAUGUUUUUCUUUCUUUUCAUUCACCUCUGUCAUCAUCCAUGCUAUGGUGUUUAUGGAGGAUGUAUUCUGCAGCAGGAAGUGUGAUGGGCACUGACGCUGCAGAAAGACUCCUGUUGUCCACCUCGGGAGCUGACACGAUAAAUGCGGGUAAAUCUCAAUCCUUUAAUAUCUUUAUGACUUCUUUCUCUUUCUCUUCAAUUCUUGAAUGUGAGGCAACUGUGAAAAGUGCAGGGCAGAGCCACCUGGGUAAAUACAGCCCUGGCUUUCUGGUGAGAGGACUGAAACCAGGAUGUGUCAAGUAACUAGAAUGUGCCUGGACAGAUACUGUAGAAAGCAAACCCAUAAAGUUGUUCAUGAGCUUGUGGACGCACCUGCCAGCUGUGAAUAAGUGGGUCUAAUCCCAAACAACUUACCUAAAAAGAGCCUGAGGACUGAACUAAACAAUGGUCCACUUUCCAGUCCUCACUGACCACUGGUUGCACACACUGAAAUAGAAAAUGUCUGGGUAGACAUAACAGACUAUUAUUCUUCUCUUGAGUUCCUUAAGAAAAAUUAACCAAGCGUGGUGGCAGGCACCUGUAGUCCCAGCUACUCUGGAGGCUGAGACAGGAGAAUUACUAGAACCCGGGAGGCAGAGGUUGCAGUGAGCCAAGAUCUUACCAUUGCACUGCAGCCUGGGCGACAGAGUGACACUCUGUCGAAAAAAAAAAAAAAAAAAAAGUUAAGCCCAAAAAGUAAGUAAGGAAGAGGUUUGGAAUUAGAUAUUUGUUGUAUGAAUGAGUGAGCUAAAGUGCAAAAGAACGGGCAGAAUAACUGAGCUGGUACAGAGGGAAAAAAUCACAUUUAAAAUCUAAAAAUAUCUGCUUCUUAGUUCAGGCUUUCCCACUUAGCAGCUUUGGCACCUUAGGAACACUUAACUUAUCUGAGCCUCUAUUACUUCUAAAAAGUGCAUAAAGUGCAGACUAAGACAGUUUUUUUGGCAAAAUUCAGUCAGACUACAUCAAGUAAACUCCCUAAGUCUCCUAGUAUAAUUCAUGGCACAAAAAAUUGGGGAAAAAACAGGGAGGAUAUGAUUAUAAGUUCAGUUUAUGUUUUUUGUUGAGUGAAUGUCUCCAGUCAUAGAGAUGCAAGUGUAGAUACACAGUAAGAGUAGUAUGAAUGGGAGACACCUUGGAAGGCUAUUUCUUCCUUCCUUCAUUCAGUUGGUCACUCAGUGAACUAUCAUGAAUUGAGCACCGCCUCUGUUUCUUAUCAACAAAGGAGACUGCGGAAAAGAAGAGUGACUAAGAUCUCUGAAGAAGGGAAAAGCUAGAUGACUGGGCCACAAGAGGAAAAAAAGCAGCAAGACAGUUACAAUUGUUUCUGGUCCCACUUUUAUAAACACACACACACACACACACACACACACACACACACACAAAAUCAUUUAAUCAUUUUUAAGUAUUUAAUCAUUUUUUAAAAAUCUGUGAUGCUUUACCUGGGCAUGUCUAGGCAGGUCCUCCUUUGCUAGGACGUGCCCUUUUCUGUCCCGGAAUACUCUAAACUUGGCAUUUUGGCAGCGUGAAGUUUUCCCGUUGUGACUUUCUCCUUGUUCCCUUUUCUCCUCCUUCUUUGCAGACAAUGAGUAGCCACUGCUGUUUGCCCUGGCCCAUCAAUGAGAAGAUCUGCUCUUAGAGCCCUGCUUUCCUGCUGAAGGCCCUGAAAUCACCUGUGUUCCAGGCCACCUGCUAACAAUAAAUAAUGCUGCCCUGAUGUGGGGAAUUAGCUCAAGUGGUAGAGCGCUUGCUUAGCACGCAAGAGGUAGUGGGAUCGAUGCCCACAUUCUCCAAGCUUUAUUAUUUAGACAUCGUGUCUCCAAACACUCAGGUCUCCAAACCCAAGUUAGUGUCUGAGAACAGGAUGCUGCUUUGGUUCAAGACGUAGGAGCAGCAAUAAUAGAGGGCUGGUGAUGGCUCCCUCUUGGCAUUCAGUAUAGUGUAGAUCUACCAUGUAAUUAAUUCUCUGUUUCUUUGAGGAGCUGUGAAACCAAGGGACAUAUACAACUGCUCUUUUCUCCCUGUUUCUACCUGCAGCUUUGUCCUAAAUGUGAGACAAUUAUGAAAAGUGCAGCGCAGAGCCACUUGGGUAAAUACAGCCCCGGCUUUCUGCUCAGGGGACAGAGUUUGAGGCACUGCAGAGGAACCGGCCAAAGUAUGAGACCCAUAUAUUGAGAGUAACAGAGUGUAAAGUUCAAAAAAAUCAAAAUAUUUAAAGAUUUAUCAUGGGUCUUGAUGACAUGAUGGAAUCUCUCUACUCUCUGGACUUAUUAUGUGUGGUAAUAAAUUUACUUUUUAA
rnacentral:lncRNA from 1 species